GACGAACGCUGGCGGCGUGCUUAACACAUGCAAGUCGAACGGAACGGCCCUGCUUUUGUGGGGUGCUCGGGUGGCGAACGGGUGAGUAGCACGUGAGUACCCUACCCCUGACUUUGGGAUAACUUCAGGCAACUGGGGCUAAUACCGGCUAGGAGCUCCUGCUGCAUGGUGGGGGUUGGAAAGUUUCGGCUGUUGGUGAUGGACUCGCGGCUUAUCAGCUUGUUGGUGGGGUAGUGGCUUACCAAGGCUUGGACGGGUAGCCGGCCUGAGAGGGUGACCGGCCACAUUGGGACUGGGAUACGGCCCAGACUCCUCCGGGAGGCAGCAGUGGGGAAUAGUGCACAAGGGGCGGAGGCCUGGUGCAGCAACGCCGCGUGCGGGAUGACGGCCUGCGGGUUGUAAAGCGCUUUCGCCUGUGACGAAGUGUGAGUGACGGUAAUGGGUAAAGAAGCACCGGCUAACUACGUG
rnacentral:rRNA from 1 species